rnacentral:rRNA from 1 species
UGGGGAAUUUUGGACAAUGGGCGCAAGCCUGAUCCAGCCGUGCCGCGUGCAGGAUGAAGGCCCUCGGGUUGUAAACUGCUUUUGUACGGAACGAAAAGCCUCUUUCUAAUAAAGAGGGGUGAUGACGGUACCGUAAGAAUAAGCACCGGCUAACUACGUGCCAGCAGCCGCGGUAAUACGUAGGGUGCGAGCGUUAAUCGGAAUUACUGGGCGUAAAGCGUGCGCAGGCGGUCUUGCAAGACAGUGGUGAAAUCCCCGGGCUCAACCUGGGAACUGCCAUUGUGACUGCAAGGCUGGAGUACGGCAGAGGGGGAUGGAAUUCCGCGUGUAGCAGUGAAAUGCGUAGAUAUGCGGAGGAACACCGAUGGCGAAGGCAGUCCCCUGGGCCUGUACUGACGCUCAUGCACGAAAGCGUGGGGAGCAAACA